rnacentral:rRNA from 1 species
UACGGGGGGGGCAAGCGUUGUUCGGAAUUACUGGGCGUAAAGGGCUCGUAGGCGGCCAACUAAGUCAGACGUGAAAUCCCUCGGCUUAACCGGGGAACUGCGUCUGAUACUGGAUGGCUUGAGAUUGGGAGAGGGAUGCGGAAUUCCAGGUGUAGCGGUGAAAUGCGUAGAUAUCUGGAGGAACACCGGUGGCGAAGGCGGCAUCCUGGACCAUUACUGACGCUGAUGAGCGAAAGCCAGGGGAGCAAACGGG